rnacentral:rRNA from 1 species
CGUCAGCGUAUUUGAAUAUUGUAUAAGUUAUGAUAUAAAUACUCUUCUCACGAGGAUACUAAUUUGUACAUACUUGUAUUAUUUUAUUGUUAAAUAUUGUCGGCGUGCACUUCUCUUCUAGUAGGACGUCGCGACCCGUUGAGUGUCGAUCUACGGCCUAAUUGGGUAGUCUUUGAUUGUAAAAAAUUAAAGACCAAUUGGUGAUUUCUGAUCGACUGCUCGGCGGUACUCGUACGGUAUUGAGUCGCAUAUUUUUUUAUGCGUCAACAUCCGUCGCAAGCGCGGCCAGUAUCUUGGUAGUUACGGACCUAGUGCCGUCACGUAGCCUGGCCAGCUGUUGGCUGUUGCGGUGUUCUGUGACUGACUCUUAAUUAAUAUUACCGGUCAGCGACGCUACUGCUUUGGGUACUUUCAGGACCCGUCUUGAAACACGGACCAAGGAGUCUAACAUGUGCGCAAGUCAUUGGGAUUAUUUUAUUAAAUUAAACCUAAAGGCAUAAUGAAAGUAAAAAUCGUCCUUGCGUCGAUUGAGGGAGGAUGAUAUAUAUUACGAUAUAUNNNCGCACUCCCGGGGCGUCUCAUUCUCAUUAUGAGAAGAGGCGCACCCAG